AUCACAAAAGAUAGGUGCACACCCAUUUGUUUUGAUUGCAUCGCGUAACAUGACAGAUCGGCGAAAACCGCGAAAAAAUGUCAUGGACUCGAAGAUAGCAGGGUCCUUGGCCGAAAUGAGGAAAGGGUA
ensembl:ncRNA F58H1.23 ncRNA